rnacentral:rRNA from 1 species
CGUGAGUGAUGAAGGCUUUCGGGUCGUAAAGCUCUGUCAAGUGGGAAGAACCUGCUAGAUACUAAUACCAUCUAGCACUGACGGUACCACUAAAGGAAGCACCGGCUAACUCCGUGCCAGCAGCCGCGGUAAUACGGGGGGUGCAAGCGUUAUUCGGAAUUAUUGGGCGUAAAGGGCGCGUAGGCGGUCUCUAAAGUCAGAUGUGAAAGCCCGGGGCUUAACCCCGGAAGUGCAUUUGAAACUUAGGGACUUGAGUAUGGGAGAGGGAAGUGGAAUUCCUGGUGUAGCGGUGAAAUGCGUAGAUAUCAGGAGGAACACCAGUGGCGAAGGCGACUUCCUGGACCAAUACUGACGCUGAGGCGCGAAGGCGUGGGGAGCAAACAGGAUUAGAUACCCUGGUAGUCCACGCAGUAAACGGUGAACACUAGGUGUAGCGGGUAUUGACCCCUGCUGUGCCGCAGCUAACGCAUUAA